GAUGAACGCUGGCGGCGUGCCUAAUACAUGCAAGUCGAGCGAACAGACGAGGAGCUUGCUCCUCUGACGUUAGCGGCGGACGGGUGAGUAACACGUGGAUAACCUACCUAUAAGACUGGGAUAACUUCGGGAAACCGGAGCUAAUACCGGAUAAUAUAUUGAACCGCAUGGUUCAAUAGUGAAAGACGGUUUUGCUGUAACUUAUAGAUGGAUCCGCGCCGCAUUAGCUAGUUGGUAAGGUAACGGCUUACCAAGGCAACGAUGCGUAGCCGACCUGAGAGGGUGAUCGGCCACACUGGAACUGAGACACGGUCCAGACUCCUACGGGAGGCAGCAGUAGGGAAUCUUCCGCAAUGGGCGAAAGCUUGACGGAGCAACGCCGCGUGAGUGAUGAAGGUCUUCGGAUCGUAAAACUCUGUUAUGAGGGAAGAACAAAUGUGUAAGUAACUAUGCACGUCUUGACGGUACCUAAUCAGAAAGCCACGGCUAACUACGUG
rnacentral:rRNA from 1 species